rnacentral:sRNA from 1 species
AAGAGAUUGUCGAUGAGCGUGACGCCGGGGGCGACGGGCAUAAAUACCCUUCUUACCCGGCCGUUCCGCCUA